GCGUCUCCAAGGAGGAAGGAGGCAGAUUACUAUGCUGCUGCAUUGCUGAGUCCCUUCCCGACGCCUCCGCCACCGUGCCCCCAUCUCAGAAGCGUUCCAGAAGAGGGGAAUGAGGUUUAAUCCACACAAUGAGUUGAGACCUGGGCCUAGGAUAUCCCUGGUUUGCUGAAACUCACCACCCAGCAGAGUCAUCCUGAAGGAGCAGUCUGUAGACAAGAUGAGGAAACUGAGGCUGAGUCAAGGGACUUGCUUGGGGUCAACACAGCUCCAGUAAGAACCUGAGACGGGACUUGAACUUUGCUCUAUCUGAUGCGCCAACAAACUGUCUCAGAAACCUCCAAAGAGAUGCAUUCUUUCAGUGCACAAAUGCGUGGCUAAUGUGGAAACGUGUUUUGCAUGACUUCAUGUGUAUCAUGGGCAUCAUAGUUCUUGCCUUCUCAAUGGGUGGGGGAGGGGUAGAA